UACGUAGGGGGCGAGCGUUGUCCGGAAUCAUUGGGCGUAAAGCGCGUGUAGGCGGCCCGGUAAGUCCGCUGUGAAAGUCCAGGGCUCAACCCUGGGAUGCCGGUGGAUACUGUCGGGCUCGAGUCCGGAAGAGGCGAGUGGAAUUCCUGGUGUAGCGGUGAAAUUCGUAGAUAUCAAGCAGAACACCUGCGGCGAAGGCGGCCUUCUGGACGAUGACUGACGCUGAGACGCGAAAGCGUGGGGAGCGAACAGG
rnacentral:rRNA from 1 species